CGGCUGCCUCUCACUCUGUACUCCUCCUUCACAGCGGUCACGUGCUCCGCUCUCCCUCGCUCUCACUCGCUCGCCAGGUGUGACUUGCGACGCUCAACAGACGCACCAGAAAGGAAGAACAUAGUGAAAGGGAGAUAAUAAAAGAAAUGUUGAUUAAAAAUAGUGAAUAGAUACAACAUAAAGAAGAGGAAACAAGGCUCACUGAUUGGUUCUGAAGCUACAAGGAAGAGGAAGGACAGAAAAGAGAAGAGAAGAAAAGAAAACAUCGAUUGGUUCUAAGACGAAAAAAGGAGAAAGAGAAGAGAGAAGAUUAAGUGUGUGGAUGCAGAACAAGUAGAGAAAAGAGAAAAGAAGAUAUUAUUGAUUAGUUUUAAAAGAAGGAAAGAAGAUUGUUAUUUGUUGAAGAGGAACAGAAAGAAGUAACGGAAGCAUCAAACAACAUUCACUAAUUUCAAACCUCAAGGAAGAAAAAAAAAGAAGACUCAAGAUUACCUGACGGAUUUUGCAGCUUGAAGAC